rnacentral:rRNA from 1 species
UACGUAGGUGGCAAGCGUUGUCCGGAUUUACUGGGCGUAAAGAGCGCGCAGGCGGUCGUUCAAGUCGCGUGUGAAAGCCCCCGGCUCAACUGGGGAGGGUCACGCGAUACUGAUCGACUCGAAGGCAGGAGAGGGUAGUGGAAUUCCCGGUGUAGUGGUGAAAUGCGUAGAUAUCGGGAGGAACACCAGUGGCGAAGGCGACUACCUGGCCUGUUCUUGACGCUGAGAGACGAAAGCUAGGGGAGCAAAUGGG